rnacentral:rRNA from 1 species
GACGAACGCUGGCGGCGUGCUUAACACAUGCAAGUCGAACGGAAAGGCCCUGCUUUUGUGGGGUGCGCGAGUGGCGAACGGGUGAGUAACACGUGAGUAACCUGCCCUGGACGUUGGGAUAACGUCAGGAAACUGGGGCUAAUACCGGAUAGGAGCUCCUGCUGCAGGGUGGGGGUUGGAAAGUUUCGGCGGUUGGGGCUGGACUCGCGGCUUAUCAGCUUGUUGGUGGGGUAGUGGCUUACCAAGGCUUUGACGGGUAGCCGGCCUGAGAGGGUGACCGGCCCCCUUGGGCCUGCGCUACGGCCCAGUCUCCUACGGGAGGCAGCAGUGGGGAAUCUUGCCCAAUGGGCGGACGCCUGAUGCAGCAGCGCCGCGUGCGGGAUGCCGGCCUUCGGGUUGUAAACCGCUUUCGCCUGUGACGAAGCGUGAGUGACGGUAAUGGGUAAAGAAGCACCGGCUAACUACGUG